rnacentral:lncRNA from 1 species
GUAAGUAGAAUGGCUCGCCUUGUGAGCGAGUGCGUGGCAUACAAAUCAACGAAAGAAAGAAAAGAAAAAAAAGCCUUAGUCUCUACAUCGUAACAGAAGAGUUACGAUAUCGACUAAAUAAAAGUCCCCGGCAACGGCGCCAAAAACUUGAUCGCAACUUUAUGAGUCGAAUUUGGGGUACAAACUGCAAGUGCACAGUUCUAUCGCGUAGUUUUAAAAGAUAUCGAUCCCACA